GGAGAGGGUUCGUACUCCCUAGCGUGGAGAGCGGAGCAAGGACAUGGCGAUGAAGCAGGUCUUCUUCUCCAAACUCAACCCUCGCCUCAAGGCUUCUUUGCAUUGCGAGAUAAACUUCUUGCCCUCUGUUAACCACCCCAAUAUCAUUCGUCUUCUUCACUUCUUUCAGGAUGAUGGAUGUUUGUACCUUGUUCUUGAGUUUUGUGCUGGAGGGAACCUGCCUUCUUAUAUUAGAAGCAAUGGAAGAGUUCAAUAACAAACUCCUAGAAAAUUCAUGCACCAGCCUGGCUCUGGUCUCCGAGUAUUGCACUCUCACGGCAUCAUUCACAAAGACUUGAAACCGGAGGACUAGAUUGGUAGUUGUUGUCACUCAAAACUUUUGUUGUUGAAGUUGCAGUAGAAGCACUUCAAUAUGUUCAUUUUACCUAUGUUUUUGUUGAAUCUUUUAUCAUAUAGCUUUUAUUUUAUUUUGAACCUUGAA